GCUAUAGCUCAGAGGUAGAGUAUCCGCUUAGCAUGCAGAAUGUCAAAGGUUUGAUUCCUGGUGUUAUGUA